ensembl:snRNA U6 U6 spliceosomal RNA
GUGCUCACUUCAGCAGCACAUGUGCUAAAACUGAACUGAUAAUAUUAGCAUGGCCCAGCCCAAGGAGGACACACACAUUUGUGAAGCGUUCCAUAGUAAG